CUAAUGGUAGCGGUCAUUAUGUGUGACUCAUGCUUUUCCUUUCAUGGAUCUAUAGCCGCAGUGAUCCUUAUGGUAGCGGUGCAUGUAGUAAACACACAUUAAAUAUAUAUGUAAUCUGCAAUGAUUUCCUGCAAAAUAUUUAUAUCAUUUUUGGAUAUGUUACCUGCAUCCUUUAUCAGUUUUUUGCUGGUAACGGAUUAAUAUGGGGAGACCUUCUUAUGGG